rnacentral:miRNA from 1 species
AUGAUGAUGAUGAUAAUGAUA